CGACAGGGCCUGGGGAGAUGCAGGUUGGAUGUUAGGGAAAGGUUCUUCACCAGACAGCGGGAACAGGUUGCCCAGGGCAGUGGUCACAGCAUCAAGCUGCUGGAAUUCACACACUUAAGGUCUGCGAUUUAACUCAUACUCUGCUGACCCUGGAGCAAGCCAGAAAUAGCAUAACAUUAAAGCUCACAGCUUUAGAGAAGAGGGCAUACAAAAUGCUCAAUCUUUACAGAAACAAGGAAUGAAAAUAAAUCUUUUUAAUUGAGAAAAAAGUACAGUAUUUGACAGAAACAGCCAAGAAAGAGAACAAGGAAGCACAAAAGGAACCCGACAGAUGCUGUUUGAUACCUGAGGAGCUGACAAGACUGAAACAUCUUAAAUGAGAAAAAACUGCUCAGUGCUUCGGUUCAGCAUUCCAGACAGUGAAGGUCGGAGUCAAGAUGAUUCCUUAUCAGCACAAAAUUGCCUUUUCUCAGUUCUGUCUGUAUAACAACAAUAGGUUGAAUGAUCCUAUGAGUCAUGUCACACAGAUGUUACCUCAAGAACAUUUAAAUGGAAUUCUCAGUGUCAAAGAAAACUAAGUACACUGACCACACACAUUCUGUAAAAUGAAAAUACUUCUCUAUAAUCUGGCAUAACCCUCCAUUUUUUCCAGUGAGAAAAUAUAUGAGAACAUGUGUAUACAUAUACACAUACACCCACACACCUAUAUCUUUGGCCUGCAGUCUACAAAUAUAAUGAUUAAAAAGCUGUAUCUUAGGAACUAUAAUGAUGUAACAUAAAAUUUUGAUUGCUUUAAGCACAAUUAAUUUGCCUGUGUAUAGACAGAAUUAUGUUCUUCCUGUAAGGGGCUAUGCAAUAAUGAACCUAAUGGUAAGCAUGUAGCCCCGAACCUCAUUUAUAACUUAAUUUUCCUUGAGGCUUGUAUUAAACAUUGAUCACUGGAACAGCUAUGCAUUUCACCACAUUAUUUUUGGCUCAGAAAGAUACCAUAUUCUUAGUGAAAUAACAGAGACUGGAAAUAAAUUUAGUAAUUUUGGGUGUCUGAAUUAAAGAUAAUUUUUUGGGUCCAUUUUAUCAGAAUACUUUCAACAUAGGUAGUGCUAAUCAAACUCCCCCUUCGCACCAACUGUGGGCAGUGUGCCAAACACUUCCCCAGAUCCAGCCUGAGACUGGUUCCAGGCAUGCAGCAACUCAGGAACAAAGUUUGGAAUCACUGGGGAAGAGGACUGAGUACCUGCACAGCACUGCAGAACAUAGCCACACAGCACAGUAAAUGCUACAGUUGGGAGCUUCCUGUGGUAAUGCACAACGUGAAUACCCCAGGAGCUGUGUGCGCAAGGACACAAACUAGAACUUGUAUUCCAUAUCAUUCAUCUCUGCUAUCACACACACUGGUCAGCAAAUGAGAGAAGGAUUGUAGGGCUCCACAACGGAGUACUUUUAUUCCUUCCUAUUACUGUAUCCCAUGAGAAGAUUCAGCUUGUGCUCUGGAUGAGGCAACAGCUUUGCAGAAAAAAUAGAUGAAACAUGAAACCAUUGAAGUAAUUGCAUCGAUAUAGAGAGGUAGCUUUAAUUCCAGCAUCUCCCACUCUCAGCUUUUAUAACAGCAGCAUAAGUGUUUCUCAUGCAAUCAUUUAGAUUUUUUUCUUCCUAAAAGAUGGAAAAGGUGGCCCUACACAGACACCUGACUCACUUUUCUAUUAACACUAAUUGCUAAUGAAGUUUGACAACUGCAGUAAGCUUUCAGCUUAAAUUCUCAGUCCCAGAUUCCUUUCUAGACAGUCCUACCUUUGUUGUUGGACUUACUUAAAUGCCAGUGUUUCUGUAACUGCCCUCCAAACACAACUCCCCCUUCCCCUGCCACAGGCUGUUUGUCACAGUCCAGAGCUCUUAUUCCCUCAGUUUUCAAGCCAAGCAGCCUUUUCCUCUUCAAAACUAGUCUAUAGGGGGUCUGAAAGAAUAGCAAACACUGCCACUUUAGUUUCAAGCUAGAUCUAGUGUUCUCUGUAAUAACAAUUACAUGAAUUACACUCAGAAGCAUUCGAUUCUCAAGUCUAAUUUUCUCUUCAUGUGCAAUGAGGACAGAUCUCCAGAUAUUCUCACUUUGCUAAAUCUCUACUCAGCAUCAACAAGCAGACUUUUCAAGCACACAUAGUUUUUGAAAAAGGUAGAAGUCACAUUCCUAAUGAAGCUAGGUUAAAGUUUACAUCUGUGUUCCAGUUGCUGAGAUCCUAACCAUGCUAAAAUAUAGGUCAUCAGAAUUCUUAAAGUGAACAAAAUAAUUACACUGUAGAACCACAGCUCCUACUUCUUGCCAGACAACUCAAAGCAGGACAUGCUAAAUGAGUUUAUCAAUAAUCAGUGCCAUCAAUCUAUGCCAAUUGGUUUAUAGAGUUUAAUAAUCCAGUUUCAAAAAAAUUGAAUAAUUUUGUCUUAAGGUUUCUUUCAGCAGUAUCAUGACAACGUAGCUUGUUUUGCUUCCUAAACAAACGAGUGAAACUCUGCCAGGGGUACAUCCCAGGAGUACUGAAGCUAACAGGAAUCUUCCACUGGCUCUUAGUGGGUUUAGUACUUGCCUUCAGUGUAAUGUGAAUUCAAGGUUAUCAAAUGUACCUGCAGUAGUAGCAGUUACUCUAACCCUGCCACAAGUGCUAUUCAGGGCUUCAUUGUUCUGCAUUGUAAGCAUCACUCAACUAAUUCAUGGAGUGCUAGCAUGUAAGAUAGUAUCUGUUACAGGAAAACUCGUAGAUCAGUUACAUGCCUUGCUAUAAUACCAGCUAUUCCACCUAAUCAAGUGUGGUACGAACAACAGAGAGGAUAGAUAAUGUAAGGGAACAUCACAGAAUAUUUUCCUUUAUGAACUACUAUUUGGUUUACUUUAUUAUUAAAAUUAAAUCCACAAAUUAAUCUGUCGUAUGUAACUUUUUCAUGCUAUUUUUACAGCUUUUUUUUUUUUUUUAAAUUGGCAACAAUAAGUGCCAUUCCUGUAGCAGAUGUUCUCAGUUCCCACACACUUAAUUAUAGUUUUAUAAUACAAUCACCUACCCUACAGAGCAUUGUAAUGUGCUGUUCCAAAAGCCUCUAGUACUUGCUCAUUACAUUCUGCUGCUACAGAGCACCAGUGAUUUGAGCUGUACACCAACUCACAUCCAUGUCACAAGGAGGUAGGCUUCAACUUUAACAGGUACUUCACAUGAGCCUGCACGAACAGCCAUAAUGGCACACUUUGUUUAAAAAAGUUCAGAUAAAGAAAUUAUCAUUAUGGUAAAUCACAUUACAUAACUUUUAUUAACACACCAGUCUACAACUUAGAGCAAUUAUUCCACUGAAUUGCUAUUUCAAAUAGAUUGAAAAAUGGAAAAUUAAUUGGAAACAAAUCAAACUUUCAGCAAAUUAGGCUCAGAAAAAUAAAUAAGUUUACUUUGUAUUUUUUUCCAGAUUAAAAAUGAUUACAAGUCAUGCAUGAAUUUUAGCUGUUUUUAAUCAAUUCUGUUUUAUAAAAUAAGACAUAAUUCUUCAUGUGAAAAAAAAACCAACAAAAAACAAAC